UACAAAACUAAACUUGUGAUACCUUCUACUCAAACUGAUAUUCUCCCACAACACUGUUGUGGGACAAUAUCGGUUUGAGUAGAAGGUAUCACAAGUUUAGUUUUGUACAU